GCCUUUGGGGUGUUGUGGUCAGCACGCUCGACGCGUAACUGAGAGGUCCGUGGUUCGAUUCCCAGCGAAGGCG
rnacentral:tRNA from 1 species